UACAGAGGAGCCAAGCGUUGUCCGGAUUGACUGGGCGUAAAGCGCACGCAGGUGGCUGAGUCAGUCGAUUGUGAAAGCCCUGGGCUUAACCUGGGAAUUGCAGUCGAUACUACUCAGCUAGAGUAUGGGAGAGGGUAGUGGAAUUCCCGGUGUAGCGGUGAAAUGCGUAGAUAUCGGGAGGAACAUCAGUGGCGAAGGCGGCUACCUGGCCCAAUACUGACACUCAGGUGCGACAGCGUGGGGAGCAAACAGG
rnacentral:rRNA from 1 species